ACACCGUUGGUGAAGUGGUUAUCAUGCUUGCCUUCCAUAAUAAGGAUCUCGUGCAUCGUAGCAAGCGGCUCGGGUUCGAUUCCCGAACGGUGUA